rnacentral:rRNA from 1 species
UACGUAGGGUGCGAGCGUUGUCCGGAAUUAUUGGGCGUAAAGAGCUCGUAGGCGGUCUGUCGCGUCGGUCGUGAAAACUUGGGGCUUAACCCUGAGCUUGCGGUCGAUACGGGCAUGACUGGAGUUCGGUAGGGGAGACUGGAAUUCCUGGUGUAGCGGUGAAAUGCGCAGAUAUCUGGAGGAACACCGGUGGCGAAGGCGACAUCCUGGACCGGUAUUGACGCUGAGGCGCGAAAGCCAGGGGAGCAAACGGG